rnacentral:rRNA from 1 species
AUGCAAGUCGAGGGGCAGCAUGGUCUUAGCUUGCUAAGGCCGAUGGCGACCGGCGCACGGGUGAGUAACACGUAUCCAACCUGCCGUCUACUCUUGGACAGCCUUCUGAAAGGAAGAUUAAUACAAGAUGGCAUCAUGAGUCCGCAUGUUCACAUGAUUAAAGGUAUUCCGGUAGACGAUGGGGAUGCGUUCCAUUAGAUAGUAGGCGGGGUAACGGCCCACCUAGUCUUCGAUGGAUAGGGGUUCUGAGAGGAAGGUCCCCCACAUUGGAACUGAGACACGGUCCAAACUCCUACGGGAGGCAGCAGUGAGGAAUAUUGGUCAAUGGGCGCAGGCCUGAACCAGCCAAGUAGCGUGAAGGAUGACUGCCCUAUGGGUUGUAAACUUCUUUUAUAAAGGAAUAAAGUCGGGUAUGUAUACCCGUUUGCAUGUACUUUAUGAAUAAGGAUCGGCUAACUCCGUGCCAGCAGCCGCGGUAAUACGGAGGAUCCGAGCGUUAUCCGGAUUUAUUGGGUUUAAAGGGAGCGUAGAUGGAUGUUUAAGUCAGUUGUGAAAGUUUGCGGCUCAACCGUAAAAUUGCAGUUGAUACUGGAUAUCUUGAGUGCAGUUGAGGCAGGCGGAAUUC